rnacentral:rRNA from 1 species
UACGUAGGCAGCAAGCGUUGUUCGGAGUUACUGGGCGUAAAGGGGUGUGUAGGCGGUUCUUUAAGUUUGGUGUGAAAUCUCCCGGCUCAACUGGGAGGGUGCGCCGAAUACUGAGGGACUAGAGUACGGGAGAGGAAAGUGGAAUUCCUGGUGUAGCGGUGAAAUGCGUAGAUAUCAGGAGGAACACCGGUGGUGUAGACGGCUUUCUGGACCGUAACUGACGCUGAGACACGAAAGCGUGGGUAGCAAACAGG